GCAGUUACCAGCCACUCCACUGAGGACUUUCCCCUGCAGCACCCGGGAAAAUGAGACUUUGGCUCCAUUUACUUUUCCUUGCGGCGGCUCUGGAAGGGGCCCGGUCACAGGUGGCUCUGACCCAGUCCGGUCCAGAACUGAAGAAGCCCGGAGAAUCCACUCGGCUGAAAUGCGCCGUGAGCGGGUUCGCUGUCUCCGGCGAUUAUAUGGACUGGGUCAGACAGGAGCCGGGAAAGGGGCUGGAGUGGCUGGUCCACUACUGGAAACCAGGGCAGAGCGAGUAUUAUUCUCCCACCAUCCAGGGGCGAUUCACAGCCUCCAAGGACAGCGCCAACUUCUACCUGCAAAUGACCGGCCCGAAGCCGGACGACACCGCCGUGUAUCACUGUGCUGCGAGAGACACGGGCUUUCUGCGCAGCCAGUCUCCAGUGCGAGGCUCCCUCCGUCUCCCAGUGAAGGGAGAAGCUGAGCCCCGAGGGAAGGUCCGUGGCAGUGCAGAGCCCCGAAUGAAGAUGAUUGACUGGAAGGGGGGUCACUAA